rnacentral:rRNA from 1 species
CAUGCCUUACACAUGCAAGUCGAACGGCAGCGGGGGAGAAGCUUGCUUUUCCUGCCGGCGAGUGGCGAACGGGUGAGUAAUACAUCGGAACGUGCCCUGUAGUGGGGGAUAACGCAGCGAAAGCUGCGCUAAUACCGCAUACGAUCUGAGGAUGAAAGCGGGGGACCGUAAGGCCUCGCGCGAUCGGAGCGGCCGAUGUCAGAUUAGGUAGGUGGUGGGGUAAAGGCUCACCAAGCCGGCGAUCUGUAGCUGGUCUGAGAGGACGACCAGCCACACUGGGACUGAGACACGGCCCAGACUCCUACGGGAGGCAGCAGUGGGGAAUUUUGGACAAUGGGCGAAAGCCUGAUCCAGCAAUGCCGCGUGCAGGAAGAAGGCCUUCGGGUUGUAAACUGCUUUUGUACGGAGCGAAAAGGCUCUCUCUAAUACAGGGGGCUCAUGACGGUACCGUAAGAAUAAGCACCGGCUAACUACGUGCCAGCCGCCGCCGUAA